CACGUAGGGUGCGAGCGUUGUCCGGAAUUAUUGGGCGUAAAGAGCUCGUAGGCGGUGUGUCGCGUCGGCCGUGAAAACCUGCAGCUUAGCUGUGGGCGUGCGGUCGAUACGGGCAUCACUGGAGUUCGGCAGGGGAGACUGGAAUUCCUGGUGUAGCGGUGAAAUGCGCAGAUAUCAGGAGGAACACCGGUGGCGAAGGCGGGUCUCUGGGCCGAUACUGACGCUGAGGAGCGAAAGCGUGGGGAGCGAACAGG
rnacentral:rRNA from 1 species